rnacentral:rRNA from 1 species
GACGAACGCUGGCGGCGUGCCUAAUACAUGCAAGUAGGACGCAGUUGCGAACGGGUGAGUAACGCGUAGGUAACUGACUAUUAGAGGGGGAUAACUAUUGGAAACGAUAGCUAAUACCGCAUACUAGGAGAUGGACCUGCGUUGUAUUAGCUAGUAGGUAGGGUAAUGGCCUACCUAGGCGACGAUACAUAGCCGACCUGAGUGGGUGAUCGGGCAAACUGGUACUGUGACGCUGCCCAUACUCCUACGGGCGGCAGCAGUAGGGAAUCUUCGGCAAUGGGGGGAACCCUGACCGAGCAAGGCCGCGUGAGUGAAGAAGGUUUGCGGAUCGUAAAGCUCUGUUGUUAAGGAAGCGGUACUUAACCAGAAAGCCACGGCUAACUACGUGCCAGCAGCCGCGGUAAUAC